GACGAACGCUGGCGGCGUGCUUAACACAUGCAAGUCGAACGGAAAGGCCCUGCUUUUGUGGGGUGCUCGAGUGGCGAACGGGUGAGUAACACGUGAGUAACCUGCCCUUGACUUUGGGAUAACUUCAGGAAACUGGGGCUAAUACCGGAUAGGAGCUCCUGCUGCAUGGUGGGGGUCGGAAAGUUUCGGCGGUUGGGGAUGGACUCGCGGCUUAUCAGCUUGUUGGUGGGGUAGUGGCUUACCAAGGCUUUGACGGGUAGCCGGCCUGAGAGGGUGACCGGCCACAUUGGGACUGAGAUACGGCCCAGACUCGUACGGGGGGCAGCAGUGGGGAAUAUUGCACAAUGGGCGGAAGCCUGAUGCAGCAACGCCGCGUGCGGGAUGACGGCCUUCGGGUGGUAAACCGCUUUCGCCUGUGACGAAGCGUGAGUGACGGUAAUGGGUAAAGAAGCACCGGCUAACUACGUG
rnacentral:rRNA from 1 species